rnacentral:rRNA from 1 species
AGUGGAGCCUGCGGCUUAAUUUGACUCAACACGGGAAACCUCACCAGGCCCGGACACCGGAAGGAUUGACAGAUUGAGAGCUCUUUCUUGAUUCGGUGGGUGGUGGUGCAUGGCCGUUCUUAGUUGGUGGAGCGAUUUGUCUGGUUAAUUCCGAUAACGAACGAGACUCUAGCCUGCUAACUAGGCGUAUUUCGACAUCCCAAAGGCCCUCCGGUUCGAGGUUUCGGCCUCUUGCCGCGUGUGGUUUUUACUGUCGGCGUACAAACAAUUCUUCUUAGAGGGACAGGCGGCUUCUAGCCGCACGAGAUUGAGCAAUAACAGGUCUGUGAUGCCCUUAGAUGUUCUGGGCAG